AUUGAACGCUGGCGGCAGGCCUAACACAUGCAAGUCGAACGAGUGGCGGACGGGUGAGUAAUGUCUGGGAAACUGCCCGAUGGAGGGGGAUAACUACUGGAAACGGUAGCUAAUACCGCAUACCAUCGGAUGUGCCCAGAUGGUAUUAGCUAGUAGGUGGGGUAAAGGCUCCCCUAGGCGACGAUCCCUAGCUGGUCUGAGAGGAUGACCAGCCACACUGGAACUGAGACACGGCCCAGACUCCUACGGGAGGAAGCAGGGGGGAAUAUUGCACAAUGGGCGCAAGCCUGAUGCAGCCAGGCCGCGUGUAUGAAGAAGGCCUUCGGGGUGUAAAGCACUUUCAGCGGGGAGGCGUUACCCGCAGAAGAAGCACCGGCUAACUCCGUGCCAGCAGCCGCGGUAAUAC
rnacentral:rRNA from 1 species